rnacentral:rRNA from 1 species
CAGCAGUCGCCGCGGGAACACGGAGGGGGCUAGCGUUGUUCGGGAUUACUGGGCGUAAAGCGUACGUAGGCGGCUUUGUAAGUUAGAGGUGAAAGCCUGGUGCUCAACACCAGAACUGCCUUUAAGACUGCAUCGCUUGAACGUCGGAGAGGUGAGUGGAAUUCCGAGUGUAGAGGUGAAAUUCGUAGAUAUUCGGAAGAACACCAGUGGCGAAGGCGGCUCACUGGACGACUGUUGACGCUGAGGUACGAAAGCGUGGGGAGCAAACAGGAUUAGAGACCCCAGUAGUCCCUGUCUCUUAUAC